UACGGGAGGCAGCAGUGGGGAAUAUUGCACAAUGGGCGAAAGCCUGAUGCAGCUAUGCCGCGUGUAUGAAGAAGGCCUUAGGGUUGUAAAGUACUUUCAUCGGGGAGGAAAAAACAAAACUAAUAAUUUUAUUUCUUGACGUUACCCGAAAAAGAAGCACCGGCUAACUCCGUGCCAGCAGCCGCGGUAAUACGGAGGGUGCUAGCGUUAAUCAGAAUUACUGGGCGUAAAGAGCACGUAGGUGGUUUUUUUAAGUUCAGAUGUGAAAUCCCUGGGCUUAACCUAGGAACUGCAUUUUGAAACUGAAAUACUAGAGUAUCGUAGAGGGAGGUAGAAUUCUAGGUGUAGCGGUGAAAUGCGUAGAUAUCUGGAGGAAUACCUGUGGCGAAAGCGGCCUCCUAAACGAAUACUGACACUGAGGUGCGAAAGCGUGGGGAGCAAACGAGGGAUUAGGAUA
rnacentral:rRNA from 1 species